GUAAUUGAAUCAUGGGGGUGGUUUUCCCCAUGGUAUUUUUGUGAUAGUGAGUGAGUUCUCAGGUGAUCUGAUGGUUUUAUAAGUGUCUGGCAUUUCCCUCUUGCACUCUCACUCUGUUCUGCCACCCAGUGAGGAAGAUGCCUGCUUCUCCUCUGCCUUCUGCCAAGAUGGCAAGUUUCCUGAGGCCUCCCCAGCAAGAUGGAUCUGCACUUCAUCACCAAAGCAACAAGAUGUGGAGCAUGAGCAGUUCAACCUUUGAAGAUAACUCAGACUAAUUUGGCCAGCCUCUCCGUCUGAGGGUCUGAGAUCAUAAGAAGGAAUUUGAAAUACCAGAGUAGCUUAACAAAGACUCUGAGAAGUCCUGCAAUAAGGAAGUAUCAUUAACUUUGUUGAACAUUUUUUACCAUUGACUCCAUGAUAUAGUUUGAAUAUUUGUCCCCACUCAAAUCCCAUGUUGAAUUGUAAUCCCCCAUUUUGGGAGUGGGGCCUGGUGGGAGGUGUUUGGGUCAUGGGGGCAGACACCUCAUGGCUUGGCACUGUACUUGCAACAGUGAGUGAGUUCUCAUGAGAUCUGGUUAACUGUUUGGCACCUCCUCCCUCCUCACUCCUACAAGAGAUGUGAAGGAGUGCCAUGUGAUGUGCAAGCUCCUACUUCGCCUUCUACCAUGAGUAAAAGCUCCCCGAGGCCUCCACAGAAAAUGAGCAGAUGCCCUUGUUAUGCUAGUACAGCCCACAGAACUGUGAGCCAAUUAAACUUCUCUUCUUUUUAAAUUACCCGGUCUCUGCUGUUUCCCUAUAAUAAUGCAAGAAUGGCCUAAUACACUCCCUUAUCUGCAUACCGUGUAUCUCCAUUUUAUAGAAGGAUGCUUUGUGACGUAUGCUAUAAGAAAUACUGCUCUAAAGAGUUUUUGUAGAUGAGAUGGCUAAAGUAUCACAGAAAUGGUAUUGUGAACAACCAUUCUGAAAUGGAUGGGCCUUGGAAAUAAUGAUCUAAAAAUUCAGAAACUAAAAUAUUUGUCCCAUGAAAUACUCUCUAAAUGAGUUCCAUGUCCAUGUAAAUUUAGGCAACAUUGCACAUUAUAUCCAUUUUCUUAGAGAGUAAACAUGCUGGAAAAAAAAACAGCGUUACUUUAUCUAAUUAAAUUUUAGAAGGUUUAUUUGAAUAUCAAAAUUCAUUUCCCCCCAGGAGUAAUGAUAAAUACUAGGGGAGCUAGUGUGAAAAGUGCUUUGGAAAAAUAUGAUGUGGUAGCAAGAAGAGAUUUAAGAUUCCAACCAAUUCAGAUUUAAUUUUUGGCUCUGCUACUUGCCAGAUGAGAUUUAUUUAUGUGGGAGUUUCUGAAGAUUCCCAUGGUAAAUAGUAUUCCUCUUCCCUGCUUAGGUUUUGAAGAAGUUGAAUAAAUAAUUAAAUGUAAAUGUUGAUAGCAUAAGAUGACCUUUAUCGCUAACAGAGGUCAGGUUUUAGGACAUAGCUAAAAGUCUGCUAAUGCUGGUGGACUUGCUCACACAGAAAGAACAC
rnacentral:lncRNA from 1 species